AGGAUACACUGCCCAUUGGCAGAUGUCACAAAAUGUUAGUUUCCAAGCCUGUGCACACAUGAAGUUACAUUAAAGCUUACGUAGACCACAUACAAUAAUACAAAUGUAUAUUUUUAUAUUAUGAAUAAUUACAGCAUUGCACAUAAAACAGUGUAGCUGCUGCAAGAAAACAAAGCUGCGUUAGCUUUACUUAAAGGAAAUGGAAACACUUUGUGGUUGAAGUGUCUGUGCUUUGCAUUGAGACCUGUAGUUUGAUCAACACCUUUACAAACGACAGACACAAUGGAGAAGGUCAUGUUCUUUUGUGCUGUUUCAUACAGAAUAAUUCAGAUCACUUCCAGCGAUGUUUCAGAACAUGAUGUGAGUAUUUUACGAGUCCGGCUGAAUGAAAGCAUCACUCUGAACUGCAGCAUGACAGACAGAUAUGAAAUCUCCUGGUAUCACCAGAAUCCUGAUUCUGGACGACUAACAUUACUGAUGUCUGCCAAAAGCAGCAGUGUAGCGGGAAGAAAACUGCUAGUUAGGUUCAAUCAAAACUGGAGUCGUCUGACAGUUCAUGCAGAUGUGGAGAUCAACACAGUCUCUCUAGUUAUUUCUGGAUUUACAGAGUCAGACUCAGGUCUUUAUUUCUGUGGAACUAAAUCAGUGGAAAUGCACUUCAACAAACCAAUCAGACUACAGAUCGAGGACAAGCUGACAGACAGAGAAGACAAAGUUCAGUCCGUUACAGAUCCUUCAGUGGAUGAUAAGAUCCCAGAUGCUUCAGAACAUAAUGUGACUCUGUUAAGAUUUCAGCUGAAUGAAACCAUCACUCUGAACUGCAACAUGACCCACACAUACGAAAUAGCCUGGUAUCACCAGAAUCCUGAAUCUGGACGACUAACACUGCUGAUAUUUGCUAUAGGCAGGAGAAAAGAGAUAUAUUUAAUCAAUCAAAACACUCGCGUAACAGUUAAAGCAGAUAUAAGGAGCAACACAGUCUCGCUAGUUAUUACUGGACUAAUGGAGUCAGAUUCAGGUCUUUAUUUCUGUGGAACAAGAUCAGUGAAUUCAGAAAUGUACUUUGAGAAACCCAUCAGACUACAGAUCGAGGACAAGCUGACAGACAGAGAGGACAAAGUUCAUUCUGAUUUUGAGGAACAGAAAUAACAGAAAUGAACAGAAAUGAAGUUGGGAACAGAAAUAAUUCUCUUGUCUCAUUUUAUUUCAGGAAAUCUUCAAGUUCAUUAGUGUAUAUGUUAUAAGUUAUUUAGAUUUUAAUAAUCUAAAGAACCUUUUGUCCAAUAGAAAGAUUCUGUGGAUAUUAAAGAUUCUUCACAGAACUAUCAAAUCCAAGUAAAAACUUUUUUUAAGAGUGUAACUGUUUAUGUUACUGAAUUACAAAGCUCUAGAGGAGUUCAUGAGAAAGUACAAAUGUCAUCUGUUUUUUUAAUCAGCAGUAAAACUGAGAAAUCAUGUCACAGUCAUAUUUGUGAUGGACAAAUUAUAUAAAUUCUUUCUAAAUGUGAUGUAGACCAACAGUAAAAAAUACUGUCUGUCACUAUAAAUAAACAGAAACAGGCGUGAAUGAAUAAGUGUGUG
ensembl:lncRNA